UGGGGAAUAUUGGACAAUGGGCGCAAGCCUGAUCCAGCCAUGCCGCGUGAGUGAUGAAGGCCCUAGGGUUGUAAAGCUCUUUCACCGGUGAAGAUAAUGACGGUAACCGGAGAAGAAGCCCCGGCUAACUUCGUGCCAGCAGCCGCGGUAAUACGAAGGGGGCUAGCGUUGUUCGGAAUUACUGGGCGUAAAGCGCACGUAGGCGGGUAUUUAAGUCAGGGGUGAAAUCCCAGAGCUCAACUCUGGAACUGCCUUUGAUACUGGGUACCUAGAGUAUGGAAGAGGUGAGUGGAAUUCCGAGUGUAGAGGUGAAAUUCGUAGAUAUUCGGAGGAACACCAGUGGCGAAGGCGGCUCACUGGUCCAUUACUGACGCUGAGGUGCGAAAGCGUGGGGAGCAAACA
rnacentral:rRNA from 2 species